rnacentral:rRNA from 1 species
ACGCUGAGAGACGAAAGCGUGGGGAUCAAAAAGGAUUAGAUACCCUUGUAGUCCACGCCGUAAACGAUGGAUACUAGCUAUUUGAAGUGUCGACCCUUCAAGUGGCGAAGCUAACGCGUUAAGUAUCCCGCCUGGGAAGUACGACGGCAACGUUAAAACUCAAAGGAAUAGACGGGGCUUCACACAAGCGGUGGACCAUGUGGCUCAAUUCGACAACAAACGAAGAACCUUACCAGGGCUUGACACUCACUUGACAGCUUGCCGAAAGGCGGGUUUUCUCACAAGGACAAGUGAGCAGGUGCUGCAUGGUUGUCGUCAGCAUGUGUUAUGAGAUGCACGCUUAAAUGCGGUAACAUGCGCAACCCCUAUCCUAUGUUUUAAUUGUCAUAGGGAACUGCCUGGGAUGACCAGGAGGAAGGUGGGGAUGACGCCAAAUCAGCAUGGCCCUUUGAUGCCCUGGGCUGCACACGUGGUACAAUGGAGCUGACAAUGGGUUGCUAAACGGCAACGCGGAGCUAAUCCCAUCAAACAGCUUCUCAGUUCGGAUUGAGGUCUGCAACUCGACCUCAUGAAGCUGGAAUCGCUAGUAAUCGCCAAUCAGCUAUGUGGCGAUGAAUAUGUUCCUGAAGCUUGUACUCACCGCCCGUCACAUUAGGGGAGCCGGCAGUAGCCGAAAUUCCUCGCAAGAGGGCCUAAGCUAAAGUCGGUAACAAGAAUGAAGUCGUAACAAGGUA